rnacentral:lncRNA from 1 species
UCUGGGACAGCCCGGGUUCAGGGUGUGAUGAAGGGCGGCGCACUGGGGAGGCUGCCCCGCACCUGCGAGAGCGCGAGGGGUGGGGACUGUGGUCUCAGAGUUAAUCAGGAGGUUUCGGAAGAAUUCUUUUUUUUUUUCAACUGUCUUCUACCAGGACUUUCUGAUUUUCCUGGUUCCCGAAUCCCCACAUCUCGACAACACAGCUCCAUCCCCAUCCCCGAGAACCUCGAUCUUUGACCCGCCAGUAGGGGGUCGGAACCGUAUACAGCGAGUGCAUUAGUGUCCACGCACAUCUGUCUGUGGAAUGUGUGCAUCCGCAUGUCCCGAGGGGCUACUGUGUCUCUAGGAUGGGAUUCUACAGUGUCUACUCAAGAAGUGUGAGGACCAGCUAGCUACCAUGCCCAGGAGAGGUUUGACUUCUGGCGGUUUCACCUCUGAUGGCUGCACAACCAAACACUGUGUAUGUGUGUGGCAUAUUUCUUGAAAAGCUUUCUUCAGAUCCUCUGCAUGUUCAUGUCUCGGAGAAGCGUCCGUGGGGAAGGAUUUGGCAUCGUGAGUGUACAGCUCAGAGUUGGUGAAUAGAAUGUGAACAUUGUUAACUUCAUUACACAUCAUGUAGGUAUUAUAAUAACAUGUUCUGAAAUUAGAUAAUUAUUCCUGUGAUAUCUCUGCCAAGCUUUGGUGUUUCUGUUAUGGUUUGAAAGUUCAGUGCACAACAGGGCCAGAGAAAUAGGCACCAGUGUUCGCCUGGUGCCUACCCAGAACCCCGAAAGCAGGGUCCUCAUGUAGAGAAACAGCGACCCUUCAGUUGUAUUGACUCACAUUUACUGUUUCCCUCAGCCCCCAGGGAGACACAUAGACAUCAAGACAUGCAUGCUCAGCCACAGAAAUAGGAUUUUUGCUCCUAAAAGGAAGAGAUCAAAGCUUUGAACCAAUUAGAGUUUCUGAAUUGACAGACUUUAACCAAUUUUUGAUUGUUUGC